CUAAAAUAAAAUUAAAACAUUUCAGAUCUUCAAAUGCCACCUCCCCAUUCAUUCACCUUUGUCUUCUCCAUCAUUCACCUUCUCCUCCAUCUCUCAGCCGCCCGACGCCAACGCUACCCUCUUCUCCGACUCCGACUCCGGUAACAGCCACAACAACCGUCGCAACCUGCCGACAUCGCCGCUGCUUCUACGUAGCUUCCUUCUUCUUAGUCGCCAAUUCCUUCUUCAAAUCUGAACCUCUGCCUACCGAACACGCCUCCGCCGCCUCAACCGCAAGCCCCUGGAAUAGCCACAACAACCGCCACGACCUACAGUAGACUCCACAGCCGACGCCGCCACUGCUUCUUUUUUCCUCCAUCUCAAUUGCUAAUUCCUUCUUCAGAUCUGUCGAUCUGAACCUCCGCCGACCGCACACACCACCGCAAAGUCCGCAAGCCUCUGCCGCCUCCACCACAAACCUCCGUAGCCUCCACCGAUCCUUUAAGUAGGCUGUAGAAAUGCUGUUGAUGGUAUCGGUUUUGCUGAGCAACAGUUGAUCAAGCAGCUUGUAGAUGUUGGGAAGAGGUUUCUCCAGAACCUCCUGGCUUCAAAAGAUGAGCUUUUGGUAAAAUUUCAAGUGAAGAAGUUUCUCCAGAACCUCUUGGCUUCAAAAAUGAGCUUUUGGUAAAAUUUCAAGUGAGUCAACCUUAGGUCCUUAGCUUUUUUUUCUCCAGUACCCUUUUCAAGAAUUCAAAAUUCUUUCUUUUAUUUGUAGAUGUGUAACCCGUGUAAUACUCUGUAUCAAAAUUCAAAAAAUUCAAAACCUGUGUAGUUUGUGCCUGUUA